GAAUUGCGAUAAGUAAUGUGAAUUGCAGAAUUCAGUGAAUCAUCGAGUCUUUGAACGCACAUUGCGCCCCCUGGCAUUCCGGGGGGCAUGCCUGUCCGAGCGUCAUUGCUGCCCUUCAAGCCCGGCUUGUGUGUUGGGUCGUCGUCCCCUCCGGGGGACGGGCCCGAAAGGCAGCGGCGGCACCGCGUCCGGUCCUCGAGCGUAUGGGGCUUUGUCACCCGCUCGAUAAGGACCGGCCGGGCGCCAGCCGGCGUCUCCAACCUUUUUUUCUCAGGUUGACCUCGGAUCAGGUAGGGAUACCCGCUGAACUUAAGC
rnacentral:misc_RNA from 1 species